rnacentral:sRNA from 1 species
UUGUAAGAACCUGGAUAGGUAACUUCAGCUUCAAACCCGUAAUGAGGGCUACCUACUAGUGGCCUCGACGCAGCUAGCUGCGUGAACGUCCCCAAAGCUCGCAAAGCAACCGGAAGCGCGAGCAGCCAACUGACGUUGGUGGCUGC